GCGGCCUCCCCAGCCAGGCAUUUGAGUACGUCAAAUACAACAACGGUCUUAUGACAGAGGAGGACUAUCCCUACAAAGGCCAUGAUGACACUUGCCAUUUUGAGCCUGCGCUAGCAGCUGCUUUCGUCCUGGAUGUUGUCAAUAUAACAAGUUAUGAUGAAAAGGCCAUGGUUGAUGCUGUGGCUCGGCUCAACCCUGUGUCCUUUGGUUUUGAG